UACGUAGGCAGCGAGCGUUGUUCGGAUUUACUGGGCGUAAAGAGUGCGUAGGCGGUUUUCUAAGUUUGGUGUGAAAUCCCUCGGCUUAACCGGGGAACUGCGUCUGAUACUGGAUGGCUUGAGUUUGGGAGAGGGAUGCGGAAUUCCAGGUGUAGCGGUGAAAUGCGCAGAUAUCUGGAGGAACACCGGUGGCGAAGGCGGCAUCCUGGACCAACACUGACGCUGAGGAGCGAAAGCCAGGGGAGCAAACGGG
rnacentral:rRNA from 1 species